UACGGGAGACAGCAGUUAGGAAUAUUCGUCAAUGGGGGAAACCCUGAACGAGCAAUGCCGCGUGAGUGAUGAAGGCCCUUAGGGUUGUAAAACUCUGUUGUAUGGGAAGAACGGCUAAAUUAGGAAAUGAAUUUAGAGUGACGGUACCAUACCAGAAAGCUCCGGCUAACUACGUGCCAGCAGCCGCGGUAAU
rnacentral:rRNA from 1 species